rnacentral:lncRNA from 12 species
CGUUUGCUGGGUGCCCGGCUCCCUGCUCACGCUGUUUCCUGACCCUCCACAGCCCCACGCACGCUAAAAAUGAAGCUCAGGAGGAGUGGGGCCGCCCUCGGCAAAUACCGCGUAGAAGGAGCGAGGGGCAAGGCUGGCCCCGCAGAGCCAGAGGUGAGGUUCCGCGCCCGCGCUGCUGCAGGGAGGCUUCGGGACCAGCCGGCUUGCUUGACUCGUAAACCUUAGUUCCCCGCGAGGUUCAGAUCUUUGACCACCAGGAGGUGGUCUCGGUUGCACACGAGCAGGGUCGCCCAGCCAGAAACCCCCUCCAGGCAUCGCGUCUGUUCCCUUCCCCAUGCCUGAGCAGGAGGGAGGAGUGGGAUCUUGACGUGGGUGGAGGGUCAUGGCAGGGCAGCAGAGCCUUGGGCUCCUUUGGGUGGCUGGCCAGGCCACACCAACUCUCCGAGGCCAAGGCUUCCCGUAGACUUGGGGUCUGCUGUGUCUUCUGUCCAGGUGCAGACACUGAGCACACUGGGAGUUGGCUGCACCUUGGCUCAUCUUUUUCUUUUUUCUUUUCUUUUCUUUCUCUUUCUCUUUCCUUCCUCCUUUUCCUUUCUUUUCUUUCCUUCCUUCCUUCCUUCCCUUCCUUCCUUUCCUUCCGGUUUUAUUUAUUUAUGAGAGACACAGAGAGAGGCGGAGACACAGAGUGAGAAGCAGGCACCAUGCAGGGAGACCGACUCAGGACUCAAUCCCAGAACUCCAGGAUCACAUCCUGGCUGAAGGCAGCGCUAAACCGCUGAGCCGCCAGUGCUGCCCAUUGGCCCAUCUUUCUGAGGACGUUCGUGUGGCAUGCAGCCGCAGGAUGGAGGAGGCUCUGCUCUGGGUCCCUGCCCAGCACAGGAUGUACAGUCUGCCCUCACCUGAGCCAGGUGCCAGAGCCAGAAGAACGCCGACAGGACAGGUGGCCUGGUCAUCACUGCGUGGCUGUGUCUGCGAUCUGCCGCGGUACACGUGCUGGAGAGGCCUGUCUUCACUUCUGUUCAUUCCCAUGAGCCCACCCCACCCCCACCAGAGAAGAAGUUAAGAACCACCAACUUGGUCUG